GGGGUCUUAGCUCAGCUGGGAGAGCGCCUGCUUUGCACGCAGGAGGUCAUCGGUUCGAUCCCGAUAGGCUCCA
rnacentral:tRNA from 1 species